AAACCUAAGGACUUUGUUAGGAGAGGUUGGAGAGUCUUAGAAGCGCACUACACGUGUAGGCUGGGAGUUUACAAGUUCUCUACAGACACUCACGUGCGGUUAGUGUUGUUGGGGUAAUUUUUUAAUAAUUCAUCUCAUAUAAGUAAUCUAUGAACUCUCUGUGAAAUUCCAUCCUGUGCGUAUAGCUUUCAUCUUACUCUUAUUGAUGGUCACUUCAAUAAGGUUAAAUUUAUUUUUUAAUCUAAAAGGACAGCAUUUUUAAAAUUCAAAAGGUGUUAUUUUUCUCUUGGACUAUGAUGUGAUGGCCGUUUAAAAAAUUUCCCUAAUAGAAUUACUUCACCUGCCGUACUUGUAUACAAGGGAAAUUUCUUAAUCAUGAUCAAAUUGGAAGAAGAAAAUGGUAAUAACAUAUACUUACCAGUUUAUGUCGUGAUUUAUCAAGAAUAAAAUAUUUUCUUCACAACCACGAUCAUGAAAUCUUGCUCCCACCUCUUCCUGCUGCGGGGCGCUGCACGAAACCAAAUUGCCGCUUGCUCGAUCAAGUACCCCGUUGCUUUGUUGGUGGACCCAAUUAGGUAAGGGGCCAUUGUCCCUCAACUCUUAGUUCUUACCAACCUUCGAUGAAAACAAGAAUGAAUUUGAUUUCAAUAGCAAAAUUAAGAUCUUUUUCAUUGAGUUAAGACGGUAAUAAGGGGCUUAAUUGUGAAAGAAAGACCCCGUAUCACAUGAAAUAUCAUACCUUCAACUCUCUCCUCUCUUAAUUUCCUUAGUUUAUUGUAAAAUCCUCCUUUGAUAAUGGACUAGAGAAUCUAGAACCGUAGCCUUCGAUGAAAACAAGAAUGAAUUUGAUUUCAAUAGCAAAAUUAAGAUCUUUUUCAUUGAGUUAAGAUGGUAAUAAGGGGCAUAAUUGUGAAAAAAAGACCCCUUACCACAAGAAAUAUCAUAAAUUCAACUCUCUCCCUUCUUCACUCUCUCCUCUCCUAAUUUCCUUAGUUUAUUGUAAAAUCCUUCUUUGAUAAAGGACUAGAGAAUCUAGAACCGUAGCAUCCAAAUUAAAA
rnacentral:lncRNA from 1 species